UUUCCACUACAGAUGCAAGAAAAAGAAGGUCCUUGUGCUUUCUGUCUGUCUGGUCGUGGCAGCCAAGAUUGAAUAGGGGAGUACAGGA
rnacentral:snoRNA from 1 species